UGGGGAAUUUUCCGCAAUGGGCGAAAGCCUGACGGAGCAAUGCCGCGUAGAGGUGGAAGGCCUACGGGUCGUCAACUUCUUUUCUCGGAGAAGAAACAAUGACGGUAUCUGAGGAAUAAGCAUCGGCUAACUCUGUGCCUG
rnacentral:rRNA from 1 species